UACUUUUGACAGAGACAGCAAGUAAAAUAUGGCUUUUUAUCAUCACUCUUUUUCAUUUCAUGAGAAGCAUGCAAUGUGUGGUCUGAUAUUGAAAGUCUUUUAUCUUCCAAUAUCUUCCAAUAUUGAGCUUGAGCUAGAGCCUUUUUGUUACAUAUAUGCAUACACAUAAAUACAUAUAUAUAUAUAUAGAGAGAGAGAGUUAGACAGACUUCAGACCAGAGAAUAUAUAUAUAAAUUAUGCAAGAGUUUGAGAGGCAGAAUGAGAAGAUGGAGUUAGUAUUUGAAGUGAUGGCUGAUGCAAUCGAUGAUGCUUUGGAAGGAGAUGAGGAAGAGGAGGAAACAGAUGAAUUACUAAACCAGGGUUGGUCAGGCAGUGGCGUCUUUACUGAGGAGGAUUGGAUUACAUUACUAAAGAAAUGAAUUACAUGGAAAAAUCAGAAUUAGUGGAAUAAUAUUAAAAGGAUGGUUUCAACAUAAGCUUGCUCCUGUUUUGUAUGCUUGUCGUUUCUAUCAAUUAACAUUCAAUAAUAACUCCCAAUGAGUUCUAUUU